rnacentral:misc_RNA from 1 species
UUUUCAAGAGCUUCUUCAAUUUCAGGGGAUGUGCAUGUGUGCUGAAGUGAUCUUCGCAACAUAUUGCGUUCCCAUUAAAUGCAGAAUUCACCUAUAUCAAAGAAGGGGCUUGAUUAGUGUCAGAGCCUAAAAUGAAUUCUCAAUAAAAGAUAGAACUUUCUCAUGAGCCAUAGUUAAAAAUAUCCCAAGUUAGGAAGGUGGUCUAGCAAGGAACUUCUAUUUUACAAGUACAAUAAGUUGUGAAUUAGAAAGGAAACAACCAUUGAGAAGA